rnacentral:rRNA from 1 species
UAGUUUAUUAGAUCUUACUCUACUUGGAUACCUGUGGUAACCUAAGAGCUAAUACGUGCAACAAAGUCCUGACUUUACGGGAAGGACGCAUUUAUUAGAAUAAAACCAAUCGGGCUUUGCCCGCUAUUUGGUGAAUCUGAAUAACUAUGCUGAUCGCACAGUCCUCGUACUGGCGACGUAUCUUUCAAAUGUCUGCCUUAUCAACUUUCGAUGGUAGUGUACACGGCUACCAUGGUUGUAACGGGUAACGGAGAAUUAGGGUUCGACUCCGGAGAGGGAGCCUGAGAAACGGCUACCACAUCCAAGGAAGGCAGCAGGCACGCAAAUUACCCACUCCCGGCACGGGGAGGUAGUGACGAAAAAUAACGAGACGGUUCUCUAAGAGGCCCGUCAUCGAAAUGGGUACAAUUUAAAUCCUUUAACGAGGAUCUAUUGGAGGGCAAGUCUGGUGCCAGCAGCCGCGGUAAUUCCAGCUCCAAAAGCGUAUAUUAAAGUUGUUGCGGUUAAAAAGCUCGUAGUUGGAUCUACGCCUUAGGUUGGCGGUCCCCCAAAAGGGCGGCACUGCCGUACCUGGGCUAUACUUCUGGUUUUCCCUUGGUGCUCUUUAUCGAGUGCUCUGGGUGACUGGAACGUUUACUUUGAAAAAAUUAGAGUGCUCAAAGCAGGCGAUGUGCCUGAAUAGUGGUGCAUGGAAUAAUAGAAUAGGACUUCGGUUCUAUUUUGUUGGUUUUCGGAACUCGAGGUAAUGAUUAAGAGGGACAGACGGGGGCAUUCGUAUUGCGACGUUAGAGGUGAAAUUCUUGGAUCGUCGCAAGACG